UACGUAGGUGGCGAGCGUUAUCCGGAAUGAUUGGGCGUAAAGGGUGCGCAGGCGGUCCUGCAAGUCUGGAGUGAAACGUAUGAGCUCAACUCAUGCAUGGCUCUGGAAACUGGAGGACUGGAGAGCAGGAGAGGGCGGUGGAACUCCAUGUGUAGCGGUAAAAUGCGUAGAUAUAUGGAAGAACACCAGUGGCGAAGGCGGAGCCGGCCCUGGCCCUGGUUGCUGACGCUGAGGCACGA
rnacentral:rRNA from 1 species